ACUGAACAUUGAGCCUUGAUGUGUAGGAUAGGUGGGAGGCUUUGAAGUGUGGACGCCAGUCUGCAUGGAGCCGACCUUGAAAUACCACCCUUUAAUGUUUGAUGUUCUAACGUGGACCCGUAAUCCGGGUUGCGGACAGUGUCUGGUGGGUAGUUUGACUGGGGCGGUCUCCUCCUAAAGAGUAACGGAGGAGCACGAAGGUUGGCUAAUCCUGGUCGGACAUCAGGAGGUUAGUGCAAUGGCAUAAGCCAGCUUGACUGCGAGCGUGACGGCGCGAGCAGGUGCGAAAGCAGGUCAUAGUGAUCCGGUGGUUCUGAAUGGAAGGGCCAUCGCUCAACGGAUAAAAGGUACUCCGGGGAUAACAGGCUGAUACCGCCCAAGAGUUCAUAUCGACGGCGGUGUUUGGCACCUCGAUGUCGGCUCAUCACAUCCUGGGGCUGAAGUAGGUCCCAAGGGUAUGGCUGUUCGCCAUUUAAAGUGGUACGCGAGCUGGGUUUAGAACGUCGUGAGACAGUUCGGUCCCUAUCUGCCGUGGGCGCUGGAGAAUUGAGGGGGGCUGCUCCUAGUACGAGAGGACCGGAGUGGACGCAUCACUGGUGUUCGGGUUGUCAUGCCAAUGGCACUGCCCGGUAGCUAAAUGCGGAAGAGAUAAGUGCUGAAAGCAUCUAAGCACGAAACUUGCCCCGAGAUGAGUUCUCCCUGACUCCUUGAGAGUCCUGAAGGAACGUUGAAGACGACGACGUUGAUAGGCCGGGUGUGUAAGCGCAGCGAUGCGUUGAGCUAACCGGUACUAAUGAACCGUGAGG
rnacentral:rRNA from 1 species